AAGCCUGAUGGAGCAACGCCGCGUGUGUGAUGAAGGCUCUCGGGUCGUAAAGCACUGUUGUAUGGGAAGAACAGCUAGAAUAGGAAAUGAUUUUAGUUUGACGGUACCAUACCAGAAAGAGACGGCUAAAUACGUGCCAGCAGCCGCGGUAAUACGUAUGUCCCGAGCGUUAUCCGG
rnacentral:rRNA from 1 species